rnacentral:lncRNA from 1 species
CAUAAAGUGGUUUUUAGAGUAUAUACAUGAAUGUUUUUCAACUUAGCUUAUUCUGUCUUUAAAUGAUUCAAAGGAAUAAGUGGAAUGGAAAAUUUUGUUAAAAAAAGAUGUGGAAGAUACAAAAUGAAUGAUUUUGAAACUAUGGGGAGUCGUUCUGAUCCCUGUUUACUUUUGGUUGAAAAGGUUGUAACUUUGUUCUUCCGAGGGGAGGGAGGCAUAUAUAAAAAUCAUUUUAUGGUACGUCGAUGAGAAGAACUGAUGUUAUUUGCAGCAGAAGGAGGAGGUUUCUUCUCUUCUUCGUCAUCAGGAUUCAGUAACGGCCUGAGCCUUCUCCUCUUAGGCCAGAGGAGCGAGGAUAAACCCAUGAGAGUUGCACCGUGGAACCAGUACCAGUUGGUAAUCCAAGUUUCUGACCCCGAACUCCAGCUGGAUUCCACAAAGAACCGGCCCUCCCGCCGGUGUGCCUCCUUUGUUUGCUUUGGUCGCACUUCCGCAGGGCCUGAUACUCCAUCACCUCUUAAAGUGGGCCCUGCUCAACCGCAUGAUUCACCAAUGCGCUUGGUUUCCGACAAUGGAAAAGAUCCUUCUGCUCAUGUAGUUGGUAAUACUGAUAACAGAAGGGUUCUACUUAAAAGUAGCUUAAAAAAGCCACACGUUAAUGUAUCAGUUCCUGUUGAGGCUUCUAGUGAACACGAAACAUCAGGUGGAAAGGGGAUUGAUGCUACUGGUGCUCAAACAGAGAGAAGGAAAGUGCAGUGGACAGAUGAUUAUGGUAGUGAGCUUGUCGAAAUAAGAGAAUUUGAGCCCAGGUAUUUUAGUCUUAUUUUAUAUAUCAAUUAUUUAAGCAGAAAGAGAAAUACCUUUUUAUUCAAUUGCAAGAUCUAAAUGUUUUAUUUGCUAGAUUUUAUCAUUAGGAGCUCCUGAUACUUUAUUUGUAAGUGUGGUGAGUGAAUCUGAGUUGGUCGGUUGACUUUUCAUUUCCUCUUUAUUAUAAAUUUAUCUAUAUCUCUUGUGGUUAUUGUGUUAUAUGAAUAUGAUAUAACUUCUAGCAGUUUGGCUUGAGGCUGAGUUGAGCGAAACUGGUUUUCAUUUUUGUAAGGUGAAAUAUGAAGUGAAUUCUGAUUGGAGAAGUUGCUCACAUUGCUUCUCCUAGCCCUAAGGAGUUUUAUUUCCAAUCAGUUCAGUUAAAUUGGUACUGUGCUUGAUAAGAGUGCAAAAUGUGGGAUGUUUUAAGGCAUACAGUGUAUAAAUUAAUUGAUCUGAUCCCAUAUGCCUAUUUAUUUAAUCUAACUCAACCCUAAACAGGUCUAAGUUUAUUGUGGUUUUUCCUUGAAAAUUAAAGGCUUCUUCAGAGUCCUGGUAAUCUUCCGCUUAUGUAGAAGUAAUACUAUAACUUGACGUAGGUUAGGAAGCAUCUAAAGCUCUUUAUUGUUGUGUGGUUUGGCAAAUCUGAGACUACAAGCUAUUCUUGCACUGUUAAGCUGUUGCUUUGUAUUCUUAGAAAACACUUGUAGGUACAUUUGGUAUGACUUAAUUUUGUUCGUCAAUUUUUUUAUUUCCUGAAACCUAAUUUAGACUGUUUUUUUAUGGUGUCAUUAAUUGGAAUGAUAAAGACUUGGGGUUAUAUAUCUGCAUUUUUGCAUUUCUAUGGUGUUUGGUUAUUGGUUAUUAUUGUAAUGUGGUUUCUCUAUAUGAUGUGAAUUGGAUUUUGAGCUUGGCAGGAUUUGUUAUGUUGAUUGUGUUUGCACUUUUGUAUAGUUUUUGUUUAUAAGAGGAUGCCACUAUAUAUUAUAAAGUCCCACAUCCGUAGAGAAUGACUAGUGAAUCUAUAUAGCACUAAUAUUCAACAUCCUCACGAAUCCGUACCCGAUGUAUUUGAUAUUCUCCAAUACUUUAUCGAUAUGUAUCUAUAGAGUAUCAAAUUUUUUUUAUAAAUAAAUUAUAAAUCUGGUACUUUCCGAGUACCCUCUAAUACUCUUAACAUAUUUUCUGAUACCUUCUAGACACCCAAAAUACUGUACAAUAGCAUUUUAAGAGAGAGAAAAUGAGAGAAAAACAUAACAGAAUCAACUAAGUAGAAGAGAGAAACAUAACAUUCAAUCUACCAAAUGGACUUGUAGUGUGAGAAAAAACAAAGCAUGUGUAUUUCAUAUAGAAGGAAGAGGAAAUGCAUUUGCAUAAUGUUGAUCAUAUAUUCAACCUUUGCUAUCAAGUUUUUGAACCAUAAAAACUAAGGCAACCUGCAACCAAACAUUUCAAAAAUAUAGAUAUGCUGCUAAAUGAAUAAAAGAAAAGAAGCCAAGUGUUGUAUUAAAUAGUGUGCGCACUUUAGAACUUUAGAUGCCUGAAUUGUUUUUAACCCUUUCUUUCAAAAUGGGACCACUAUGAUAAACAUUCACGGAGUCAAAUCAAGUUUGGUUGUAUCUAAUCCACAAACAACAUUCAACUACCAACAUUUUCAAUUUAUUUUUCUUUUGUCUUUUGAAAAUAGUUUGAAUAGAUAUGAUAGCCAUUUAUUUGUUGCGGAACUGCUAUUCUAAAUAGGAGUCGAUUAAUUCGCAUAUUAUUUGCAUUAUUAGUGCUAGCACAGAAUAUAAUAGUAUUCUAUUUGUUUGAUUAAGUUAAAUUCUCUAAUUAAAUUCUCUAUUAAUAAAAUAAUUCUUUAGCAAAGAUUAGAACAGUUGUUAGUGCAAGACCUUGUAGGUUCAAUACUAAGAUGGUAAUAAGUUAGUAUUGAACAUAUAAGUUUGUGAUUAAAUAAAAAAAUUCUAAAUGGAAUAUAAUAUUCUUUGCUAGCACUAGGAGUAUAAAUAAUGUGCUAAUUAAGUAAUUUUUGUACACAAUGGAAGUUUGGCAACAGAUUCUAAGUGUAGUGAUUGGAAAUCUUGAGACUAUUUCUAUUUUAUUUUUUUUAUGCAUUUAUAAUAUAUAAUUUUAGUUGAUUACACGUAAUGGAAUUAAGACUUGAUUGUUGUUAUAAUUUAUAAUUUUAUUACACAGGUAUAAAUUAAGCCAUACUUAAGUUAGAAUGUUGUGAUUGACAAUGAAGGCAAUUAGUAGUGUAUGUUUGCCAGCUAGUAUUUAUUGUUUGGUAAUGAAGGCAGUUAGUUAGCAUACUCAUUGGUUAUUUGUCUAUGUAUUCUAUCCUGUGCUGGAUCCGAACCCAUCAUUUUUUAUGGAUUAUGUUGAAUUUUUUAGACCUUUUACAUCUAGUAAGACAAAGGUGGGUUGUUCUCUUACCUUGUAGUUGAUUUUAUAAGAUGGCAUUUGCAUUCCUGCAGUGAAGCGGAUGGAUCAGAUG